CCCUGAAAGGGUUAAUAAAUUGUGAUUUAUUUUUGUAUUUGACUAUAGAUGUCAAUAAAUUAGUUUUAUACUCAGCUUUUUAUCCUGCUACCUAUUAGCAUACCAGUUGUUCCUGUGUUAGCUUUGUUGAGUUUCAACAAGCGCCUGCCGAUAUGGCACAGAGUGUAAUCUUUCUGUGGCUAACAUUUUACGAGUGAGAAUAAAUGGAGUAGAAGAUUCCCCUCGAUGAUAUGGAAGGGAAACUGCACAAACAUGUGCCAUGGUACAGUUUGUUAUCUUUCGUCGCUUGUUACUUUGAUAAUUUCAGGGAACAGAACGGAGCCUUGACACUGAACACGUUGCAUUUUUAAACAAGAUGAUUCGCGAAUAUUUUACUUCCUUUCUCAUGAUAUAAAAUCAACCCUUGUUUAUCCUCUCUGAAAGAAGACCAUCCCCUUUUCACCUGAGUAGACCUUUUCACAUCAACAAAACGGUGUGAAAUAUGAGCUUCGCCCAGUCUGAGUGAAUGGUUGGGUGUGCUUCUCUUUGUAUUCCACCGCUUUGCACUAUUAGCGUGUUGCGUGUUAUUCUGGACGAAAGCAAUAUUAUUAAAGGGCAAGUUCGGACAGAUCGCAGCGCCGUCACCCCGUCAGCAAAUAGUUUGCGUUUACGUCUUUGGUGGAUGGUAGCGAGAGAGGGAGUUCAUCACAAAGCCAAUGGUCUGCAAAUUUUUGCUGCGCGCGAGGCUCGACCUGUUACUAACUGAAACAUAUUUGGGAGACUG